rnacentral:rRNA from 1 species
CCUGGUAGUGGGGGACAACGUUUCGAAAGGAACGCUAAUACCGCAUACGUCCUACGGGAGAAAGCAGGGGACCUUCGGGCCUUGCGCUAUCAGAUGAGCCUAGGUCGGAUUAGCUAGUUGGUGAGGUAAUGGCUCACCAAGGCGACGAUCCGUAACUGGUCUGAGAGGAUGAUCAGUCACACUGGAACUGAGACACGGUCCAGACUCCUACGGGAGGCAGCAGUGGGGAAUAUUGGACAAUGGGCGAAAGCCUGAUCCAGCCAUGCCGCGUGUGUGAAGAAGGUCUUCGGAUUGUAAAGCACUUUAAGUUGGGAGGAAGGGCAGUAAAUUAAUACUUUGCUGUUUUGACGUUACCGACAGAAUAAGCACCGGCUAACUCUGUGCCAGCAGCCGCGGUAAU